UUUUUUUUCCACCUGGUCAACAACAUGAAUUUUGAGCCCCAAACAGGUUAUUUCUGCUGUCUGUGGUGUCUACUGAGGAUCUAAAGAACCUGUGGAACAUCAGAGACUUUGCAGCUAUUAGAGCUAACCUGUGUACUGCUAACUUGCUACAGAGGAAGCAGCAGAAAGCUGAGCUAACAGGCUGUUUUGCAGAUUGAAAACUACUGCAUUGCAUUACAAUGGAAGUGCUACACAGCCACAUGCAUCAACUGCAGCUGGUGAGCUAAGACACACCAUAGUGUACACAAAGUACACUGCAGACAAGGGAUGUAAGAAAAUA